GCCUAAGAGAUUAGGUGUUCCCUUCGGGGACAGAAUGACAGGUGGUGUAUGGUUGUCGUCAGCUCGUGUCGUGAGAUGUUGGGUUAAGUCCCGCAACGAGCGCAACCCUUAUUGUCAGUUGCCAGCAUUAAGUUGGGCACUCUGGCAAGACUGCCGGUGACAAACCGGAGGAAGGUGGGGAUGACGUCAAAUCAUCAUGCCCCUUAUGACCUGGGCUACACACGUGCUACAAUGGACGAUACAACGAGUCGCUAGACCGCGAGGUUAAGCUAAUCUCUGAAAGUCGUUCUCAGUUCGGAUUGCAGGCUGCAACUCGCCUGCAUGAAGUCGGAAUCGCUAGUAAUCGCGGAUCAGCAUGCCGCGGUGAAUACGUUCCCGGGUCUUGUACACACCGA
rnacentral:rRNA from 1 species